rnacentral:rRNA from 1 species
UACGUAGGGGGCAAGCGUUGUCCGGAUUUAUUGGGCGUAAAGAGCGUGUAGGCGGCCUGGUAGGUCAGCUGUGAAAACUCGAGGCUCAACCUCGAGACGCCGGUUGAAACCAUCAGGCUAGAGUCCGGAAGAGGAGAGUGGAAUUCCCGGUGUAGCGGUGAAAUGCGCAGAUAUCGGGAGGAACACCAAUGGCGAAAGCAGGUACCUGGACUAUUACUGACACUCAGCUGCGAAAGCUAGGGGAGCAAACAGG